GAGUUUUAUCUUGUUUAGAUAAGUGGAGGAUAAUAAUGCAGCCAUGCACUUGAUAUCCGCUAUAGCUGAAGCUUUAGGCCACGAAAUCAGUGAAUAUGCUAUUAAUAGGAGAACAAUACAGCGGCUGCGAGAAGAUAACCGACAAACAAUAUCUCUGUCGGCAAAACAAAACUGUCAAAAUUUGAUGUCAGCAGUGGUUCAUUGGGAUGGUAAAAUUCUUUCUGAACUGACUGGGCACGGCAAAGUUGAACGAUUGCCAAUCAUUAUUUCACAUAUUGAAGGCGAACAACUUCUGGGAGUGCCAAAAUUAAGUGCAUCUUAAUGACCGAAUGGGGAAUAGUUGAUAAAAUAAAAACAGCCUGUUUUGAUACAACUGCA